GACGAACGCUGGCGGCGUGCUUAACACAUGCAAGUCGAACGGAAAGGCCCUGCUUUUGUGGGGUGCUCGAGUGGCGAACGGGUGAGUAACACGUGAGUAACCUGCCCUUGACUUUGGGAUAACUUCAGGAAACUGGGGCUAAUACCGGAUAGGAGCUCCUGCUGCAUGGUGGGGGUUGGAAAGUUUCGGCGGUUGGGGAUGGACUCGCGGCUUAUCAGCUUGUUGGUGGGGUAGCGGCUUUCCAAGGCUUUGACGGGUAGCCGGCCUGAGAGGGUGACCGGCCACAUUGGGACUGAGAUACGGCCCAGACUCCUACGGGAGGCAGCAGUGGGGAAUAUUGCACAAUGGGCGGAAGCCUGAUGCAGCAACGCCGCGUGCGGGAUGACGGCCUUCGGGUUGUAAACCGCUUUCGCCUGUGACGAAGCGUGAGUGACGGUAAUGGGUAAAGAAGCACCGGCUAACUACGUG
rnacentral:rRNA from 1 species